UGCUGCUGUUGGGUGUUGUAUCGUUGAUGACUGGGUCGACCACUGGUGUACCGAUGUCUUUCUGGUAUGGCGAAUACCAAACCGCAACGCCGCCUUACUACCCAAAAGCAACUCACGCUACAACCAGUUCCUGCACCGAAGUCUUCAAGUACUACACCACUAAGGCACCGGAGUUUUAUUCCACAACUUAACUGCCCCCAGCUACUACACUGACGCCCCGAAGUAUUACUCUGCCCCGAGCUACACCAACAAGGUACAGGGGUACUACACGCCAACCUACUACACCGAGGCUUCCAACUACUACAACGAGGCUCCGGCUGAUUACUAAACCAAAAUCGUUGCAAACUACACCAAAGCGCCCAAGAACUACUCUGCCCCGAUCUACACAGCCACAACUUGCGGUAACAGGCGGUCAAGUAUUACGCAGCCCUACGCAGAAGCUGCCUUUUCGUACUACGAAGAAAUACUACACUGAUGCUCCAGUUUGCUACACCGCAACCUAUGCUAUACCUAGCUACAACACCGAAGCUCCCAAGUACUACUUAAUUAUACCGUAUAAAAAUUGCAAUUUGUAUUUUGUUCAAUUGGCAUUUUGUCUAUUUCGUUCGGAUCUUAAGAUUUAAGAAGAAAGAAAAACAAACAUGGGGAAUUUUAUGCCAAACA